rnacentral:misc_RNA from 1 species
GUUUACAGGGAUGCUGAAUCCGGGGUCGAGGCAGAUCUAUUUAACUUUUCCAGCAGACUCCACCUUCAGAGAGGAGGAUGUCUCUAACUACUUCAGCAUCUACGGCCCGGUUCAGGAUGUGAGAAUUCCAUACCAGCAGAAGCGGAUGUUCGGCUUCGUCACCUUUGUCUAUCCGGAGACUGUGAAGUUGAUACUUGCAAAGGGCAACCCUCACUUUGUCUGUGAUGCCCGAGUUCUCGUCAAGCCGUACAAAGAGAAGGGGAAGGUUCCUGACAAGUUCAGAAAGCCACAACAUUUCGACAUGGGAGAUCUUGCUUCACCCACUGGGUUGGAUGCCGCGGAUCCGUAUGCGUAUGAUUUACAG